GCAAAACAUACGGAAAAUGGCCGCAAGCCGAUGUUUACAACUAGACGAGUAUGAAAGGUAAUACAGUGUUGGAUAUCAUCUAGGAUAUGUGAAGUAGAUCUAGUAGUGUCCAAAGGAGAGAUAUAUGUAGAUCAAACCCAUCAAAUAAGCCAACACCAUGUCUACAAGGUCAUACCUCUAGAACCUCUGACACCUGUACAGCUGAGGACAAAUCUAAAAGUGGACAGAGGGAUAGUAUGACUGCUUCAGUGAAAAUAGGGCGCUCAGGUUCUAACAAGCGUAGAAGAGCAGUGCAACUCAGAGGUACUCCUGAAAGAGUCUUAAUGUGCAAUUUUACAAGAUGUAAUUCUAGACUGUAAUACAGCCAGGCUAAAGACUACUGUACACAAUUUCUUAACAAAUCCAAGAACAAACCUGUGUUACAGGGUAUUCAACUAAGUGAAUCAAAGAAAACCGAACUACAAACAAGAAAGGGUCGAUUGAAUGGAGUGACAUUUUUACCCUGAAGAGUCCUACCUGUAUUAUGUUAAAGAGAAUCUAGUCGUUUGUGCCACGGCACAAAAAUUAUCAGACACAUAAAUAACAUUCAAGUAGCUAUGCAUUUACAUGGAGGAUAUGACAUGAUUGUAUUUUCUUAUUGAAUUUAUCAUACAAGCUGAAUAAAAAAAAUAUGCUCAGUUGAAUAUAAAAAAUAAAAUGCGAGGCUAUACUGAGCAUUUUAAGAAUUUAUUCAACGUAUUUAAUAAAUGCAAUGUGGAAAGUCAAAACAUUAAAAAUUAUUCUUUCUUUUACUAUAUUAACAAGCCAACUUAAUCAACACUUCCAAUUCUUUAAACGACAUCGACGUCAAAGCUUUAUGACACUAGUGUAUUAUAAUUUUUAAGUAAUGGUUUUAUUACAAUCCUGUGAUGUCAAACAUAUGAUAAUGUUCUAUUAGCAUUAAUUGUAGACUUGUUGAACAUUUGUUUUAACAAACUCUAUGAAAUACUGGUUAAACCCUUAUAGUGCUGGAAACAAACGUUUCAGGCCAUGUUGACCAGUGUAGACCAGAUCUGGUUUGAGGUCACAGGAUUGUAAUAAAAAUUAUAAUACACUAGUAUAAUAAAUCUUUGACAUCGAUGUCGUUUAAAGAAUUGGAAGUGUUGAUUAAGUUGGCUUGUUAGUAUAGUAAAAGAAAGAAUAAUUUUUAAUGUUUUGACAGGAAAAUCUAACAUGUUAUAAAAGAAUGUUACAUUUGUGACUUUAAUCUUAUAUCUAUUGCUUUGUCCACUAUCCUUUGCCAUCAUCCACUAUACUCAAAAUUUUGUGAAGUUUUUUAAUAUAUUUUUUUCCCAUAUUCCUAUUACAGUAAUUUUUUACAUUUCUCUUUUCUCUAUCAUUCUUACUUUUUGCAUUUAAUAUUUUCCAAGUGGUAAAUAAAACCAAUAAAAUUUCACAAUUAUUUCAUAUAUUUUAUUUACUUGUCUAUUUCAUGCAAUUAGGCUAAAAAUGUAGAAAAAAGUAAUUUUUGAAACAAAAAUCAGGUUAGACCAGUGUUGCUUCAGACACCAACAUGUUAACUUGUCAAUGUAGUAUAUACACAAACAUACUGGGAGAAGAAACAGAAGUUUGGCACAAUGAAAGUACAAAAUGUUUUUCCUCAUUGUUAUGAAUAGUUACAGUGUACAGGUUUAAAUUACUUUUUUGGGUGAUGUUCUUUUCUGUGGAGGGACCAGGUGCUGCUUCACAAUUGUUUUUUUUUCUCAUUAAUAUCAUUAUAUGUAAUUUCCAUUUUUGGCUUUUCACUUGAUAUAUUGCUGUCCUGUGUGAGCAUCUAUUAGCAAUACAUGUAUCAACGACUGUCAUGAGUUACUUGUAAACCAUAAAGUACAAAAUAAAACUAU